ACAUAUCACUGGGUGAAGCCGGUGCAAGGUGAUUCUCAGAGAGUUUUCUGUGAAGUUUGCCAGAGUUCGUUUUCCGUUUCACACGGUGGGGAAUACGACGUGAAGCGACACUACAUGCAAGACCCCCCUCUCAGCUUUGUGGGUCUGAAGCAGCAGCAGCAGCAGCAGCAGCAGCAGUGACGUCAUCUCUUCCCAUAGAGGAGUGAGCAUUGCCUAGCUGGUGCUGGCUAACAAAUGAACGUACGGCACUGUAUCCAUGACCUUCAUGAAUCGCGGCGAGCCCUGCGGAUCUCGGCAUAGUUACUGAGGUUUACAGCCAAGGCCACUUUGCCUGGAGUCGAUUGCUGAUGGAGAACUCAUCCAUUGUAGGCAUUGAGAUAUUGGAUUUGGCUUUGAGGAAUGGUCGAGGAACAGGGAAUGGUAAUGAGUGAGAGGAAAGAUUCUGCACCAGAGACGUAAGAGAGGGAAUAAAACGGGAGGAAAGGGUGAGGCGAGUCAAAAACCGAGCUUGUAGCUUCAUGCAACCGAUAAUGAUUCGUCUCAAGUGACCGUGCUGCGAAACCAACAAAUUCUAUGAUCCAAUAAUCAUUAACUUAUUUGUGUAUCGACCAAAAACAGCUAGGACAUGUGUACACCGAACCUGGUGCAAUAAACAACCGACAAAGAAACCCGAAGCACUCCAAACCCUGGCUGUUCAAAUUAAAGUGCAAAUCAAUUUUAUAAUUACAAACAUUAGAGAAUUCAAAUGUCUGAAAGGCAUUCGUCCAGCAAAAAUCAGAAGCAAGCAAACCAAAAGUUGUGCCCAUCCCCCACGAAAGACAACGUAUUCUGAAUAAUGAUGAAUAACCAUCGACUGGUCUACACACUGUGGCACACGAGCCCUUCCUCUUCCUCUCCUGUCUUCAGUGCCGCUUGUCUCUCCAGGUCAAAGUUGAGUGGUUUGUCUCAGCAUUCUAUCCCCUCUCCAACCCCCUGUAGUUCCCACAAUGCAUCAGUGAGGAAACCACACAACCCCUUUUUGUUCUGCAGAAAUGCAGGAAAACACACACACACACACACAAAUCACCUCCAUAUAGGAAGUGGUAUUAUGCUCAUGUUCAUGUCUCAGAUGAGUUCUGAAGCAUGGGCUUGCAACAGCUCCACAACUAUGUAAUAUAAUUCAGCAUGUGGAUUUAUAUAUGUGUGCCUCUGAGGUGGUGUGUGCAUGUGAAAAAAAAACAAAACACAAAAUCAGAACCUGUAACCUGAGUCCCCUCCUCUCGAGUGACCUGGCGGGUGUCCUGACCCGUUUCAGUUUACGCUAAGAGGUCAAGAAAGGGCACGGUUGGGGAGAGGGAAAGAGAGAAUGCCAAGGAGAACGUGAGAGAGAGAGAGAGAGAGAGAG